rnacentral:rRNA from 1 species
CCUACGGGUGGCUGCAGUGGGGAAUAUUGGACAAUGGGGGGAACCCUGAUCCAGCCAUGCCGCGUGUGUGAAGAAGGCCCUCGGGUUGUAAAGCACUUUCAGUGAGGAAGAACGCCUGGUGGUUAAUACCCAUCAGGAAAGACAUCACUCACAGAAGAAGCACCGGCUAACUCCGUGCCAGCAGCCGCGGUAAUACGGAGGGUGCGAGCGUUAAUCGGAAUUACUGGGCGUAAAGCGCGCGUAGGUGGCUUGAUAAGCCGGUUGUGAAAGCCCCGGGCUCAACCUGGGAACGGCAUCCGGAACUGUCAAGCUAGAGUGCAGGAGAGGAAGGUAGAAUUCCCGGUGUAGCGGUGAAAUGCGUAGAGAUCGGGAGGAAUACCAGUGGCGUAGGCGGCCUUCUGGACUGACACUGACACUGAGGUGCGAAAGCGUGGGUAGCAAACAGGAUUAGAUACCCUGGUAGUC